rnacentral:lncRNA from 1 species
UUCAGGUCGAUUCUGAUUUUCUCCACUAAGGCAUGAACCAGAUCCAUCCUCUCUAGUGCGUGUUCUACGGAGAGAAUAUUUGGCGCCACUAUAACCACAGCAUCAUCUUCAUCCCAAGCGUUAAUGGCGUGAAUUAAGUUCAAUCCAGGUACAUCGAACCACUUCAUCUUUGAUUCAUCGUUAGCGUAUCGAGGAAUUAGUCCUACUCUUGAAAUUUUCGAUGGAUCUGAUCCCACUGGAGAUCCUCCUUCAAUUAUCAUCUGCGUAGGGUUAAUUCCAAUCUGAAUGUCUGUAAAUACAGCGUACUUUUUAGUAAUUGCAAAAUCGUGCAGGAACGACGGUCGAUUCAUCGAAAGUAUCGGCACAUCUGAAUGUUUGGCUCCGUUUUUGUCGAAUCGGAAGUAAGUUAAAAACGGAGGCAAAGGACCGUAUCGGAACGCAAAUGCCUCACCGGUAUCGGAAUCGACUUUCGGAUGAGCAGUCAUACUAAGAGUGAGUUUUCCGUCGAAGUCAUGACGGGCGAGAGUUUCAAUAUCACCGUUUGGAGUUAAUCGAAUCGGAUACGGUAAAUCAGACUCACCUAGGGCGUAAAGUCGGUCACCGAAGAAAGCCAGACUAGUGUUUGCAAGACCAAUGCCGUUUGCAGGAUUAUACUGCCCGGUUAAUAUCCGGCCAACGGCGACGGCGCCUCGUGCGGCAGAGGCAGUGAGGCCAUUAAAGCCGGAAAAUACGUUGGGGAAAACAGGAUGGCCAGCGUCACGCUCCAAAGUAUAUUUGUAAGUCUUGACAUAACGACUACACAGAACGGCACGGCCAUCGGAGAUUCGAAGAGAGUGAAGCAUUCCGUCGCCGUCGAACAAAUGGUAGGGACCACGAGGAAGGUACUGAGGAUUUGGUCCGUUACGAAUGUACGCACCGUUGAGAGAUGAAGGCAACGAGCCAUAGAUGACUUCACACUCCGUCGGUGGUAGCUCAUCCACCGGAGCGAAGUUGUCGGCGAGGAUGUAUCGUGGAUCCACUGAGGGACUAACCGGGGGGUUUAUGAAGUUAUUGAUUAAGUCAUCGAAGGCGUUGAAGAAUCUCGCCGGUAGAGACGGCUGAACUCGUCUGGUAGAAGAGACCCUGGGCAUUGGUGGGGAGGGAGGAGAUGGUCGGGGCAAGGGCGGGGAUGGAGAAUCGGCAUCUGGUGGAGGGGUAUUCUUUUUGACGUUUUGUUCGGUGAGAACAGAGUAGAUGGGGGUUGAAAUGGGUGGGAGGGAACUGGAAAUUGGGGGAGAGAGAAUGAGAUUUCUGCCGGAGAGGAAAGGGGAAGAAAUGGAAUCCAUUGAUGGAAGAAAAUGAUUGGGAAAGGAAGUGAAAUUUCAACUUCUUCAGAUAAGAAUUGAUGAUAGUUUGGUCCCUACUCCCUUCUACUUCUUUCAAAGAUGAUAGAAUUUAAAGGAUGGGAAGGCUAAAAUGGGAACUCUAAAAUAUGAUUCUUUUAUUUUAUGGUUUGUAUUUCUCUAUUUCCAUCUCAUACUUUUUUUUUACCUUUUAUGAGUUUGAAUAAAUAUUUUACACAUUUUAAAUGACAUAAAAUGUAUAUGGGCUCAUAAAAAAAAAUUAUAAAUUUUCUCACUAACUUUUUUAUUUUUUAUUCAUUGUCACCUUACAUCUUUAAAAUGUAUCACAUCUUCCUCUCUUUCUUCCUUCAAAAUUAUUCUAACUAUUUAAUUGAUUUCAAUAAAAAUUAACUUUUGGCAGACUAAAUUUAAGAUUUAUUAGAAGUACAAAAUCAACAAACUUAACAGAUACAUCCGUGAAACUUUAAUAUAGCUUGACUUGAUUUAUUUUAUGUUAAAGUUAACUUUAAUAUGUAUUUAUAUAUUAUAGAUAAGUUAGGAAUUAAUCUUCAAAACCGAAAAGCUAAUUGUGUAAUUAUUUUUCAUAAAAUAUAAAAUUGAACUUAUAGUUUAGGUAUAUAUGUAAACAAAUCUCCAAUCCGCACAUUUCUAUUUCUAUCUAAAACAAGAAUGAUAUACAGUUUUGUUAUGAUGUUGACAAAACUCAAGAUAAUUAUAGUCAUUGUGGUGUGAAAUUUUUUAUUCUCUUAUUGGACAUGUACCAAUAUUAGCCAUUUUUGAAAUUUCAAAAUAAGUAUUUUUUUUUCAAGAAUUAUAAUAGAAAAACUCAUUACUAUGAAAAAAGCCACUAAAGAACAAAAAAAAAAAAAUCAUUGCACUAAGAAGAUAUUUAUAAAAUCUGAAGAAUAAAAAAUGGGAUCUAUUCUAAUAAACUUGUUAACUAAAAAAAGAAUACACUCUUAAAUCUUAUGGACGAAAUGUAUAUUUUAGGACUAAAAAGUUAAUUUUCUCUUUUAUCUUUUUUAUUUUUAAUCGAGAGGUAGGAAGAAAAUAGUGUUUCUCCAAAUAAAUAACAUUAGAUAUUUUUUAUAAGUUUAGAAGCUUUUAUUAGACACCUUUAAAUUUUGAAUAUCAAAUUAAUACAAAUAAUUUUAACGAUUAAACUCGUAAUAAAAUAUGAUAUUAAAAUAAUUUGUUUUGUAGUUUUUCUACGUUGGUUUUUGUAGGUUUCAAGAUUCCGUUGGUGUGAUUUCGACUAUCUAUAUGAAAAUUCCUACUUUAUAUGGUAUGAGUUAUUAUAAUAUAUGUUUGAAGUCUAGAGUAUUAUAAUCUAAAUUAUAAUAGCAUGUAGAAUAAAUAUUGGUUAUCUUAGAUAUUGUUUUUUUUAUACUAUUAUUUUUUGUCAUACAUUUAUUUAGGUACAUAAAAUACUAUUUUUGAAAAAGUAAUAUGGCACCAAAAAAACAUAUGAUAAAAACUUCUUAAUAUUAAAUUAACAUAAAGGUGUUUUAAAACUUUUUUUAAAAGUAUUUGUAUAUAUAAAUUUCUUUUCUUUGUUAUAUAUACUAAAAAUGUUUUUAUUAAAAAAUUUUAAGGUUGAUUGAUAGUGAUCGUAGAUUGGUUUAUUAUGGUCGUCAGAGUUGGUUAUCAAAAGUUCGUCGGUGAAGUUGUCAGAGGUGGUGAUCGAAGAGUGGUCCACGAUGAUUACCAAAAGCAGUGUUCAUAAGUUGGUAAACAAAUUUCUCAAUCACUGAAACUAGGAGUGAACAUAUGGUAGGCCGAAAAACUAAAACGAUAAACCAAAACCGACCAAACUGAAAUCAAUCUGUUGGUCGGGUGAAGGGAUAGUGUUGAUCGGUUUCAAUUUUGUUGUAAAAAAACCGACUUAUGGUUGGUCAGUUUGGGUCGGAAGGGUGAGACUCUACUAACCCAACCAAAAAACCCACUUUUAUAUAUAUAGUUGAGGUGCCUUUGCAAUUAAUUUAAUUUAAUUUUUUUUAUUCACUUUCUGAACAUUUUAAAUUUAUUAGUCUUGUUACAUUUAAUAUGUUUAAAAACUCUUCCACGUACCAAAAUUUAAUAGAAAUGGUUUUGUUUUGAUAGUAUAUUUAUGGUUUAAUUUUUAUGUUUUUAUUAAUUAACUAGAAAAAAAAGUAAGAGAGAAAAGAAAGAGGGUAGAAAGUAAAAGAAAAAAGUAUAAAAGAAGAAAGAAAAACUAAGGGAUCAACCAACUCACUGAAAGUUGGUUUGAUUAGUUUUGUUGCUAAUAACUAUCAAACAUUAAGUCAACAAUUUUCAUACCAAACUUGUGAUUGGUUUGAUCGAAAAACUGACUCUCAUAGACCAUAUAUCACCCCUACUUAAAACAAAUACUCUAUAGUAAAAAAGAUGUGAAUAUUGAUAUGUAAUUUAAUAAUAAUUUAUGAAAGUCAUUUAAGUUUAACGAGUAUUUAUACUCAUAUUGUCCAGUAGCCAAUGAUAUUUGUAUAUUUUAUGGAUAUUAAUUAUAUUGAUUAUCAAAGACGGUCAAUUAAAAAUUGAUAUCAAAGUUAAACUCUUUUCAAUUUAUAGAUACAUAUAUCAACAAAUAUAGCUAACAUGUGUCAAUGAAUAUCUUUUAUACUUUAACCUUUCUUUCAUGUAUAGAAAUGCAUUAAAUAACAAAUACUCUAUCUAUAAUUUUGAAAUGGUGUAUAAAUGUGUAAUGUAAAAUUCCGAUACGAUUUUCAAAAAAUAACAACCAUAUAUAUUUAUAUUUAAGUCGUGCACGCAUCAUAAAUGCAUCAUUAAUUAAUCCAUAAAUUAAAAUUUAAUUAUUCACUACCAACUUUUUACGUAUUUAAUAUGUUUAAAUGUUUAAUUGAUAAUUAACACACUUUUUACCUAUUUAAUUUGUUUUCUUUACCUUAAAAUCCUUCUUUAAAUAAAUUAGAAUAAUUUAAAGAUAAUAAUUGAGUUGGAUUCGAAUAUUAUAAACUCAACUCAUUUGGGUUCGAUUUAUAAAUAUUAUUUCAAUUCUAAUAAUUAUUUAGUAAAAUGAUAAAUUCAACCCAAGUCUAUUACUAAAAUAGGUAAAAAAUAUAAAUAUGGAAAUAGUUAAAAUAUAAAAUAUAAAAAAUAUAUUUUUUUAAAAGAAGAAAAUAUAUGAAUGAAAAAAAGUCAAAAUAUUAAUUAUAUGGAUGUAUAUGUGUGUGGUCUUGUUUAAUUAUUCCCAACAGAUGAUUGUAAGUUGAAAAAUUUUAUGUGCCCAUUUUUGGAAUCUUGCUUAACUUUUGUCUAUACCCAUUUUAUGCAAAUUAAUAAUUAUGAGAGUUAUAGGUUAUAUUAGAAAUAUAUAAUAUAUAUUAUAUGGGGUGGAGAUUAAUUCAAAUAUAUAUUAAUGAGUGGAUGCAUGAGGUUAUUAAUAGCUAAACUAAUUAAAUGAGUUAAUUUAGGGUUAUAGUUUUUAUUUUUCAAGGAGAAACCAAUUGUCUAAUUAUUUGAAGAGAAAAUUAAUUUUGGGUGUACCUAGUAGUAGUAGAGAGUAUUGGUAUAUUCACAUGUUAAUUUCUAAAACAUAUAUAUCUAAUAAUGAUUUAUUUUCAAAUAUAAAAUUAGGGUUAGAAAUUGAGUAUUCCCACUCUCAAUUUGCACCCACACGAAACGCAUGCCAUACACACCAUACAAGUAUGAAUUCAAUUGAUUGGGAUUUUCAUGUCAUUAGGUGUUUUGAAUUUUGUGGGUACUCCAUUACUAUAUUUUUAAAUUAAACUUACAUUUUACGAAAAUAAAAAAAUUAUUUUUCAAAUAUCAAAAGAUGAACUAAAAUAUUUAUAAAAUAUCAUCCUCUAUCAUCUAUGAUGGAGUGUGAUAGAUUACGAUUUUAUGUGUAUCUCUUAUCUGUGUCUAGUUUAUCUUAGUCUCUUCCCGUUGUUGAAUAGGAAAUUUUGAAAUUAUUGAUGAAAAAUACAAAUAAUUAAAUUUAGGAUUAAUUGAGAAAAAAAAUUGAAAAUAUAAAUUGGUUAUUUCUAACGAUGUAACAUGUUUUUAUUAUGAUCGUUGGAUCAAGUUAAUUAUUUUGGUUCAAUCCUCAUUUGUAAAAGGAGAAUUUUUUUUUGUCUAGAAGGUCUAUGGAGAAUUCUCCAAGAGCUACAAGACUCUUUAACUCCUGAAGUCGACCGUCCUUGAAGAUUGAAGAUUGAAGCUUCUUUGAAAAUAUAAGUUUUUUUAUUCUAAAACUCUAUUUUAAAAAACAUCAUGUGUUCUGCAUCCUCAAAUCAAGCGUAGAUGUUCAAUCGAGAGAUAAUCAAAUGAUUAAAUUCUAGAAGUUGAAGCUAACUCCACAAAUCAAAUUUUUCUGAAAAUCUCGUACAAGGAGUGGUCUAUUACAAAUAAAUUAUAACAUUUUGAUAUAUUUUUAAAAAAUUCAAUUUUUUUUAUCAUUUAAGAUAAUUUUCCAUAAAAACAUGACGUAUUUUAAGGUGUGACUCAUCAAACAUGGCAAAUACAAAAUAGGUAUGAAGAAAUAUACUCUUUGAAUUUUAUUUUAUGUAAAAAGAGAAAAAACAAAACAACAAUUCCCAAAUUAAACAAUUUUAAUUUAGUAUCUCAAUUUCACAUUGGUGAAAGUUGCAAAGUCCUUUUCUUGUGGCUAUAAAAAUAUAAUUAUAACAAUUAAUAUAAAUUAAACGAGCAAUAUUUUUGUAAAAUAAAUAAAUAAUUAUAACAACAACAACAAUAAUUUUAUAAUAAUACACUAUUUUUAAGUCCGUACCCUCUAAUUCCCUCCCCUUGCUAUAUAUAUAUACACACACACAACACAAUCUCACAUUUAAUAAUGAUUUUGUUUGAAAUUUAUAAUUUUCUCUCCCUCAAUUUUUACAUUUGUAGAGCAAUUCAAGUAAAAAAAUUUAUACUUCCAACUUAUUAGUAUACUAACGUAUAUGUCAAUUGAAUUAGUCUUUUCUUGACUUUUUAUUUAUGUAUGGUGAUUCUUAUUUUUCUUCUCAUUUUUCUCGAAAAAACAAGUUUAUGGAAAGAAUUUUUCAAAAUAAAUAUUCAAGAUCUAUUCAUUUUAUAUAAAAAAAUUGAGAGUACUUUUUGUUAUAUAGUUGUUAAACUAUGAUUAGAUUUUUAAUAAAGUGAAUAACAAUACAAUAGAAUUAAAAUAGUAUUAAUAAACUUUAAUUUUAAUUUUAAAAAAUUAAGAAAAAUUAAUUUAAAUGACUAUAUUUAAAUACUUUAGAAUUUUAAAAUAUUUUGUCACCUAAGACGGUGAAUUAAUCUUACCCUCCUUAAUUUUCAAGAUCAAUAGAGAAAAUUAUUAUUUUUUAUUUUGAAUUGAAAGUAAUAUCUAAUUUCAUUUCUAUCUUGAUUAUUAUUAUCUUCUUUCAAAUUGUCCAAGCUUACGAUCAAAUCUAAGUCUAUAAGGUGUUGAAAAAAGGAAAAUUGCAAUGGGUAACCAUUUCAACAAUAAUAAUUAAAGAUAUAGCAAAAUUUUAAAAAAAUUGCAAAUAUAGCAAACUAUCACUGAUAGACUUGUAUCGCUGAUAGAUUUCGCAUGAUCUAUCAGUGAUAGACCAAUAUUUGCAACAUAGUCUAUCGGUGAUAGACUUAUAUCAUUGAUAGAAUUUGACAAAUUUUGUUAUAUUUGCAAAUUUUUUAAAAUGUUGCUAUAUACUUAAUUAGUUUGAAUCUAAUUGCUAAAAUUUGUAACUAUUUCUUGAAAAAAAAGUGUGGGAGAAUGUGUGUUUCAAAAUGAGAAUGUUACUGUCUUAGAGUUUGGACUAACCAGAUGAGUUGAUAAAUAUAUAUCAAUUAAAAAAUAAUUGAACUACACUUGGUUUGGCACUUUGAAAUCUCAAAUGCUAAGAACAAUAUUACGUUGUCAAGAUUAUAUGCAAACAGAGACGCGUGCCAAAGAAAAGGUUGAUAAAUAGACUCAUUCGUCAACAAAAAAUAGUAAUUAAUCUUUCAAGGAGAGUCUUGAUCUUACUUCUUAUGCGGUUUGCUAAAUUAUACACUUACUUGGGGUUGUCAUCGUAUUGAUAUGAAGAUCACUAACUCAGAUUGGCUAGUAGAAGCGUGUCAAAUGAUCAAGUCCACGAUGAAUCCACGUAAAAUUGCAUGUAGAUGAGAUAUGAACUCUAACAAGGACCUCAGAAUUUCACUUCAUCAAAGAAUACUUGGCUGGAGGAGUGGAAGUUAGUAAAGUGAAAAAUUGUCAUCUCUGAACCCACAAUGGACCCGUGACUAAAACCUCAAAUUCAAAUUCAUCAGUUAUUAACUUUUUAUACAAAGGAUCCAUUACUAACGAUUCUUCAAAUCUAAGAAUUGUCUUGCAAUCAACCUUAUUAUAGCCUACGGAAAAUUGAAUUUGAUAACAAGAUUCCUUUAAUAUUUAUAAUACACUUUUUUCACAAUUUCAUUUGAUGACAGUAAUGAGUUCUUUAUCCAAAAUUAAAAAUGUUAUAAUCAAGUUUAUUUGAUUGAUUAUUGAUUAAUUACAAGAAAAUAACAUAGUUUAAUUGCUAUUGUAUACGUUAGCGACUAAGAUAGUGGUCGAAUCUCUCACUCCUACAUGCUCAAAGUGUAAAAAAAAAUGUAAUUAUUACUUGGAUAUUAUGAUAUACUCAACUUUAACCACAUAUAUUUCAGUUUUUUUAAAAAAGAAAUCACUUAUAUUUGGAUAUUAAGAUAUUAAUUAAUAAUUACUACUUAAGAUUUUUAUUUAAUUUUGUUUUCUUUUGAAAGAUAGUAUUUGGAAGAAGUUGAUGGUUAGGUCCUUUGACAUUAUUUUCUGAAAACGGAAAUAGAAAGAAUAUGAUAAUAUGAAAAAUAGUUUGUUAAAAGAAAGUAAAAGACAGAGACCAUAAAAAUAAGAGGUGGAGCCAAGUGAGAAAGAGAGAGAUAAUUUGAUUGGACCAUUAAAAUUGAAAUUGACCAAAAUGCAAAAUAUCUCAACUUCAAAAAUGUUGGAGCCAUACAAAAUGAUAAUUGUAAUAAGAUAUGAUAUCAACAUCAUUCUUAUGGACCACACAUAACAAAAUAUAAACCAUAUACACAUACAUAUAUCUACGAUUUGAAAGAUAGACUUAAACAGAAAUUACUAACCAUCGAAAAUAUUUUACAAAAUAUAAUAAAAUUUUAGAUUCUAUCGAUAAAAUUUGACAAAGUUCAGAUCGGUUGAUGUGGUGGCAUGUCGUUCAACAAUGCGUGGGCAACAAAUUGUUGCAUCGACACAUGGAUAGCCUCAUUUUGCAGAUUUGGCAAUGCAUGGACUUCAAAUGGGGCAAAUGACUGCAACUAGAGGAGGGUUUCGUGCAGUGCCCAUGCGACUGAAGGGGGAUAAUCGCCAGAGUGGUAUGAAGGGGGUGGAAUUGAUCCUUCUUGGCGACUGCAACCCUUGCAUCCACGUCGCCGCCGACAGUGGUUGACAUUAAAUACAUUGAUGACUCUUUCCAAAAGAUACUUGAAAAGUGAUAACAUGAGCAUACAAAAAUGCUAUUCAAUUGAAAAAUGCACCCUCAUAUAACUGGUUUAAUAUGACUUAAAAGAAAAAGUUGGAUUCAACCUGUAAUAUAGUCACCUGUCUAAUAUUUAAUAUCCUGCAAUUCUUUUCUUGCCUUGUGAGACUAACAAAUGUGUGUGCAAAUUGAUUUCAACACCCGUGGAUAUAACAUAAAUAAAUAAUAAAUACACUCAGAAGUCCAAACCAUCCAAGGAUUGAAGUGAAAUUACAUUCAAUAUAUCAAACACUGUAUAUCUUUCUUUCCCAAGCAGUUGAAAUCCAUUCUUACAACACUGAAAACAGCAAUCCAUUUCCAACAAUUUCAUAUGUAUCGCUGUUUCAUUUGAGAUUCUAACAUAUGAAUAUGGACUAGAAAGAAUCUUGAUUUGAAGAAGAUGUUAUAUCGUGCAAACUGGAAUAGAUGCAAAGAUCUUAUUCUUCUCUUCAAAUUCAAACUGACCUUGAAACCUUGAGUAUGAGAACUUGAAGAAGCUGCAAGAGAGAGAGAGAGAGAGAGCUUUCCUUUUCAAUGAGAGAUGAUAAUCUUGAAGUUCUACAAGGCAUGGAUUCCUUGCUUAUAUUUUAUUGUUUGGAAUUAUAAACUCACGUCUACAUUUGCUAUGUGAAAUUUGUUGUCACAAAAAAGUUUUUGCCAACUCCAUGUGUUAACAUAAAAAAAAAAAUUAGUUUAGUUAUAGGAUACACAAUUACUUCUAUAAAUCACAAACCCACGUGUAUAUAAAUCAGUUUAUAUAACUCAUUCCACUAAAUGAUCCAAAACAUAAGCUACACAAAAGCAAGCUACAUGCACCCAGAAAUAAUUUUAAAACUUCGGAAUAUAACUUCUCAACUACUUAAUAACACUUUUAUUUAAGAACUUAUUGAGUCAUUUUUCCAUACAGGCCUAGUAGAGUCGUUACAGUUUUGUUCCCCACUCUCCCUUGAAUUUAGACAGAUUGUUGAGGUUUAUAAGAUACUGAAUUUGUUUCAUGCAUACUAAGAAAAGUUUGAUCCAGCGAUCAUGAUCGUGCAAUGAAAAGAAAGGGAACAGAAAUUAAGCAGAAUAAAAAAGAAACCAUCAGGAAAGAUAACAACAAAAGAACAGAGAUUACAAGACCUAGUUGUGAAGCUUGACUGCAUCCAGAUUUCUUCUUCCUUCAGGGCCGUUCGAGUACCAUGAUGAUGUAUAAUCUCCAUAAAUAACUUCGCGAUAUCUAAGGGGGGAGGACUCACUAACAAGUUCUGCAGCAGGGGAUAUUUUUACUGUCUUCGGCGGAUCAUGAAAAGCAGAAAUCGAGAGUCUUGCCCUGCUAGAAUUUGUAAUCACCCUAUGUUCCGCACUCUUGCACUUCCCAUUAGUUAGAAUCUGCAUGCAAUAAUGUGCUAUUGAAGUCCCUAUUUGACUUGAUUAUACAAAAAAAAAUAAUAAGUUACAAGAGAAACGAAGCAGCUCCUCACACAUGAAACAAGAUAGCCAAAAAAAAUUUAUCACUGAAGCAAAAAGGUCACACAUUAGUUAUACAAAUCAAAAUGCUGGUGUUGAUCAAUAGAAGUUAUAGACACGCGUGAAUGAUUAAGCCAUACAAAUGUUUACAAGCAAAGUCUCUCUUAAAUGGUUUAACAGGUAACUUUCUCUCUCACUUCAGGUCUUUAUUUUGUAAUGAACUAAAAAUUGUGAGUUACCAUUCCAUAAAUGUCAAAUUUUGAGAUUCCUACUGCUACUUGAAAUAUUUUCCUCAUCUAAUUGGGACUGUAAAUCAAGUUUUUAGCUUUCAUAUAUUUUCUUGUUUGCCAUAGGUCCAAUGUCCAUAGCCCUUUUACAGCAUAUCCUUAGCAUGUGUGACAGCAUUUCAAACACUUCUAUGGUAUGGGAACCUAAGAGGCACAUUUAAACUAAUGCAUUCAUUGUCCUAAAAAUAAUAAUAAAUAACCUAGCUUCUGCCUUUGAAACAGCCUGUCAACCACCUGCUUUCUCCAUCUAGGGUCCUUUACAGAGAUCCCAAACGUCAGAUAUGAUUGAAAGUUCUAAGUUCUAAUUCAACUUAAAUUAAUGCAGAAUAGACUCCCUGCAGACUGUUUGUCAAUGAAAAAUAAAAUUGAUCAUUAAGCCCAGCAACUUGAUUAUCUUGCUCCAUCGUGAGAUAUGCAAUAGUCAUGCUACACAUCAACAUCAUUGUUUUACAUGAAGUUAAAUGUUUAGCUACUAUUGGAACAGGAUGUUCCCCAUUAGCCUAUUUCUAAGCAAACGAUGCUCAAGCCAUUAGACCAAACAAGUGGUACAAGCCAGAUCCUUAACUAAGUGGAGGAGUGCAACCCCUGUACCACAAUACAUGACGAGAAUACUAAUCACUAGAGGUAUAAUUUAAGGACUUGAUCUGUGACAAGUACUUUCCUGAAACUACAAGAGAUGAGGAGAUAACUAAGACUGAGUCGUAAAAGCACGACAGACCUCUAGUAGGACAAACAUUUUGCCAGAAAUAGUUAAGAAAAUAUUUUAGAAGUAGUCCACAGAAAAUAAGAAGUACAAAAGAACUCCGAUAAGAUUAAAGGGCCACUGACCAAUCAGUGCCAAAUACAUUAUACAGCCUCUCUCCAAUCUACUCUACUCAGGAGAAUAAGUACUCUGGUCAAGAAUCGAUCUUGCAAGGAGCAGGGAUCUUCUUGUCAAAAGAGAGUUCCAACCAACCUUUUGCUCCAGUCAAUGGCAACAUCAAGCCAAAAGGCUCCAAACCCAGGAACCGCAGCAGCGGAAAACAACCCUAGCAUCCUACUUGUGGCCGACAAGGUUUAUUCAAGAUAUGGUAAGCAAGGGAACUGCCAAGGUCUGUACGGCUUUUCAUCCAUAGAACCAAGCAUGUCCUCCUAAACAAUCAGCGUCAAUUUGACGGCUGUCUAAUGGCUUUUCGAAUACAGGAAGAUUGUAUCAGAAAAGAGAAUUAGUACCCAAGGACUUUUGGCAUGCAAGGAUCAGAUUUUCCUUAAAACUCAAGAACACAGUUGUACACCCUAUAGAAUAGAUCCUGUUCAAGUAAGGUUGAUCAAAUUACGUCUAAGAAAUUAACUCCUCAAAGAGCUUGUGAUAUUCAAAAUUUUCCUAGCAGAACAUUCCGAAAUAUCGUUAAACUGCCCCAUCUCCUUCUCUUUACUUAAUCUAAUUACAGUGUUUCGACGUGAAGAGAAAAUCAAGUUUAAAGAGAUAAAGACACUCCUAUACCUAAUAACUGAACUGACCUCCACCAUAGACACAAGUGCAGAGAAUUUAGACGAUUACCUCACCAUCAUCUUAUGUUGAGCUAUAAGUUAUUUUUCUUCCUUAUGAAUGGUCUAUUAUUGCCCCCACAAACAUUGAUCUUGUUCCAGAGGUAGAAGCUUGAAAUUGAUGGCGUUAUGGUGUAGGAACCCAAUUGAUCAAACAUAAAAUUAGAAGCAGAUUUAGUAAAGAAAAUGAUAAUUUUUCCAUUGUUAAGAAUCCACGUUGGAAAAUCAAGUGACUUCACAAUGUUUAUAAUAUACAUGGUUAUUCCUCUCCUAAGCAAUUGGUUUGAGAUAAACCCAUGUCACCUAAUAUCAACCAAGCCUUUUCUAUCAAAUAUUUAGUCCAAAUAUUAGCCUCCCCAUAUCUCCAAGUUCUCUCAAAUUGUAACUGUAUAAUCUGACAAACUAUCUAAAUAACGAAAACUAAAAGUAUCGGUCCCAGCCUCUAAGAGUCCUAGCGGUUUCUUAGAUCCUUACUCUCUGUAUAAAGUAGUGCGAAUCGUGUAGUUUUGUCAAAGAGAGGAGGGGGAAAAAAUAGGUAUGAGCACUGCAUAAUCUAACCUCAGUUUGGUCAGCUAAAAUGACGACAAUGGCAUCAGGAGACAGAGGAUGAGCAGUAACCCAAUCACCUUGCCCACUGAGAACCUGAAGGCCGCUAACAUCAUCUUGUAUGAGCAAAGUGAUGGCACCAAUGUCGGAGUGAGAUUGCAGACCAAGCGUCAAGUCAGGCUGAGGACAUGGAGGGUAAUAACUAACAGUAAUAUUCUGAUAAAAACCUUCUUCCGCACCCAUACCAGUAAUGGCAUCCUCCAUCCACGACGAAGGCAGGCCAAUAGUUUCAGAGAUAAGGGCUAAGAGACGCUGAGAAAGCAAUUUCAUACAAUCGCUGUACUGUGCCAUAAGCUCCCUGUAAUGGGAAGGAAAAUGAGGCCAAUUAGAAGGAUUACGGCGUGAAAGCGGAAGCGUAUGGUGAUCGAAGUAAUCUCUCCAAUCAAGCACUGAAGAUUGUGAGCGGACAUGUUGAUCGAGGAGCAUUUGUGUGCCAUAACCCUCGGAAGCGAAGGAAUUAGGAUCGCAAGCGUAAGCGAGCUUAUCGGAGACGGGGUAAUCUCUGAAAAAAGACAGAGCCGCAGCUCUCAUCUGGUUCAGCAAUGAUACGGGAAUUCCAUGGUUGAUGACUUGAAAAGCCCCCCAUUCGGUGGAUUCUCGACCAAUGGCGGCUAGAACAGCUGGUCUGUGGGACGGAUCGAAUCCGAAAAGGUCGAUCACUGGAAUUGAAAGGUGGGUGGAGUUGUUAGGGUGGGAGGGACGGUGGUGCGGGGGCUGGAUGUAUUGGGGCGGAACCUGAGAGGGAUGUGUUUCGGCUAACUUUUGGACUCUGGUUAGUGGUUGGGAUGAUUGUAAGGCCAUGGCGGAUGAAGUUCACAUCUCAGAAAUGGAGUU